UACGGAAGGCAGCAGUGGGGAAUAUUGCACAAUGGGCGAAAGCCUGAUGCAGCUAUGCCGCGUGUAUGAAGAAGGCCUUAGGGUUGUAAAGUACUUUCAUCGGGGAGGAAAAACAAAACUAAUAAUUUUAUUUCUUGACGUUACCCGAAAAAGAAGCACCGGCUAACUCCGUGCCAGCAGCCGCGGUAAUACGGAGGGUGCUAGCGUUAAUCAGAAUUACUGGGCGUAAAGAGCACGUAGGUGGUUUUUUUAAGUCAGAUGUGAAAUCCCUGGGCUUAACCUAGGAACUGCAUUUUGAAACUGAAAUACUAGAGUAUCGUAGAGGGAGGUAGAAUUCUAGGUGUAGCGGUGAAAUGGCGUAGAUAUCUGGAGGAAUACCUGUGGCGAAAGCGGCCUCCUAAACGAAUACUGACACUGAGGUGCGAAAGCGUGGGGAGCAAACAGGGAUUAGAUACC
rnacentral:rRNA from 1 species